GAUGAACGCUAGCUGCAGGCUUAACACAUGCAAGUCGAGGGGUAACGAGAGGAAAGCUUGCUUUCCUUGUCGACGACCGGCGCACGGGUGAGUAACGCGUAUCCAACCUGCCCCCAACUAGGGAAUAACCUUGCGAAAGUAAGACUAAUACCCUAUAAUUUCCUCAGAUGUCAUCUGACGAGGAAUAAAGAUUUAUCGGUUGUGGAUGGGGAUGCGUCUGAUUAGCUUGUUGGCGGGGUAACGGCCCACCAAGGCAACGAUCAGUAGGGGUUCUGGGAGGAAGGUCCCCCACAUUGGAAAUGGGACACGGUCCAAACUCCUACGGGAGGCAGCAGUGAGGAAUAUUGGGCAAUGGGCGGAAGCCUGAACCAGCCAAGUAGCGUGCAGGAUGACGGCCCUAUGGGUUGUAAACUGCUUUUAUACAGGAAUAAAGUUAGCCACGUGUGGUUAUUUGUAGGUACUGUAUGAAUAAGGACCGGCUAAUUCCGUGCCAGCCGCCGCCGUAA
rnacentral:rRNA from 1 species